UAUAGCGCCAAUUCAUAACAGAAGUUAUCUCAGGACACUUUUCAAAUAGAGUAGGUCUAGACCGAACUCUUUAACAUUAAUUACAGAGACCCAACAGUACCACCAUGAGCAA